CAGAACCUCCUGGGCAGCUUCCAGGCACAGGUGGGACAUCUCUGCAAGGCGGCGCUGAAGCAACUGAAGCAGAUGGAGACUCAGAGCGCUGAGCCUGUGAAGGGGCAGCUGCAGGUGCCAAGUCAAAAUUCGGGGCCUUGCUGGGUUUGUUCCCAUUAGGGGGAGGAAUCGCUGCUCCUACUCGGAUCUAGUCUCAGGGCGAUCUAUAGGGAUGCAGCGCUGAGAACAGGAGAUAAAUAAACAGCAGCACUGCCCAGAAAUUCCCAUGCCUGCCUCUCCAGUGGAUCGCUGCCCAAGAAGCUGCUCUCCUAGGUUCCUAGGCUAGACGGGACCAUUGUGAUUAUCUAGUCUGACCUCCCAGGCAGCGAUGUGAAUUGCAGGAGAACUUGUCUUUCCUUUCAGGGGGAUUGUGGGAAGGCAGUGGAGGACUAGCAAUCUGGGACUGGAGGGCGCGGCAGGGGCUCAGGCACUGUGACACCAACACCCCCCACGUUUGUUUGGCCAGGGCUUCUUGGAUAUUCUGAAGAAGCAGAUAAAUCUGGUCGGGCAGCAGAGCGAGAGCGUGGAGCGGAGACACCGGAUCGCAACGGAGCUAAUGGCCACAGUGGAGAUGCUGCUGAGAACGCUGGCCCCGACCCUGCGUGACAGCACGAUCAGCAUCGCAUCCACCAACGGCAGAGGCUUCACGCUGGCCGGGCUGCUGACAUACCAGGGGAUAAGCCCCAUCCUGGAAGGUGCUGGGCGGGUGGAGGCGCCUGAGUUUGACAAGAUCAGCCAGACAGGGAAGUGGGCGCAGGAGCCGGGGUGGCCCAGCUACCGUGUGCUGUCUCCGGUGGUGUUGGCCUUCAUCAGUGACCCAGGCGCUUGGCCUCUCUGUCAGCAUCUGCUUCAGCAACCUGGUGCCGGAGAAUAAGACUGACCUGCGCCUCCUCUGCGCCUACUGGAAGCCUGACAGCAGGCGCUGGGCCACCCACGGCUGCAUCCUGCAGAAGUUGAAUGCCACCAUCACCCGCUGCCAGUGCAACCACCUGACCAGCGUUGCCGUGCUCAUGGCCUUCUACGAGCUGGAGGUA
rnacentral:lncRNA from 1 species